ACGAACGCUGGCGGCAGGCUUAACACCUGCAAGUCGAACGCACCUUUCGGGGUGAGUGGCAGACGGGUGAGUAACGCGUGGGAAUCUACCCUUCUCUACGGGAUAGCUCCGGGAAACUGGAAUUAAUACCGUAUACGUCCUGAGGGAGAAAGAUUUAUCGGGGAAGGAUGAGCCCGCGUUGGAUUAGCUAGUUGGUGGGGUAAAGGCCUACCAAGGCGACGAUCCAUAGCUGGUCUAAGAGGAUGAUCAGCCACAUUGGGACUGAGACACGGCCCAAACUCCUACGGGAGGCAGCAGUGGGGAAUAUUGGACAAUGGGCGCAAGCCUGAUCCAGCCAUGCCGCGUGAGUGAUGAAGGCCCUAGGGUUGUAAAGCUCUUUCAGUGGGGACGAUAAUGACGGUACCCACAGAAGAAGCCCCGGCUAACUUCGUG
rnacentral:rRNA from 1 species